GCCCACUUAAAGCACAAGCCCCGAGUGCUCUCCGUCCUGUGAGCUCUCCAAAUGCCAGCUUGCUCAGCUGAUUCACUUUGACGCAGGCAGGUUCAUCAGAAAGCCUUGGAACAGCCUUGCAUCCCAGGGAUGAAGCAGACUUGAUCAUGGUGGAUACGCUUUGUGAUGGACUGCCCAACAGUUUUAAAUGUAAAUUGAAAGACCCCAGUACUGGUCCAAGCCCUGAAGACUGCACCCAGGAAAGUGGAGGUAUGGACAGAGGCAGCCGGUGCCUGAGGAAGCUCCACGGGGCAGGCAAGGCCCCCACGUCCAGUCUCAGCCCCUCUUUUGGCCACAUGCCGGAGAAGGAAAUUUUGUGCCUUGAAUAAUGAAUCCCCCUGGAGCCCACGGUACCUGUACUUCUCUUUAGUGUCCACUGAGAAUAACGUGUUCGACAUUCAAGUGACAACACUGGAAAGCAUUUCAAAGCCCUGGAGCCCCAGAACGCUGUACACCCCGACGGCUCUUCUGCCUGCCCUCUCUUUGGCUUCCAAAUGCAGCAAGCUCUUUCUUUACUUAAAAUGUGUUCAUCUUUCACACGCAUCCUGGAUGUACCACAGAAAGACAGUACAGAUAGGCAGGCUCUUAUUUCUGAAGCUGAGCUGGUCCCGCCCAGCACAAAGCUUUAAAGCUGCUAAGGCUCCAGGAUAUUAUCCAGUUUUUAAAAAUGGAAAAACUGGGAACAGGGAGGCUCAAUAUCUUGUCCCAGGCCCAAACAGGCUUUUCUGGAGUCAGUAUCAUUCAACUGGCUCAGGCUGGAUUUUCAUAAGAAAAGAUAAUAAACAUUUACUAAUGUAAUAAAAUAGACACCUUUUAAGUCACAAGCAGUAUCCAAACCUUUGGGACAUUCUAUGGUGCUGAACAGCUAUUUCAUAGAGGCUUUAUGUUAAGGAGCAAGUGCAGAAAAAAAUCUGAAAAUCUCAGUAAGAUGAGAAAACGAAAGCUUUACAAAAUGGUAGAAGAAAGUAGUCUCUCAUGCCUAAACUUCCAAAUAAGUUUUUGUUUGUUUGUUUUGGGUUUUUAGUUGAGCAUUCUUUCUGGUUUGAAAUAGAUUCAGAAGGCUUUUUAAAACAAGUCACUUUUGGCCAAAUAUAUUAAGGUAUAACCAAAUGAUACCAUAGAUCCAUUUAGAAAACAGAAAGUUCUUUACUGACAUGAAAGGAUUUCUAAGACAUAUUCAUAAGUAAAAAAGCAAAUAUACUACUAUUUGUAUGGGAUGAAAAAAUAAAAGAAACAUGUAUAUACAUACUUGUUUGUAUAUGCAUAGACUAUCUCUCUGGGUGGAUGUUGCCUUUUAAGGGGGGAAGGCUGAGGUGGGAGGACAGAGUUUCUCUCCUUUAUCUAAAUCAGGGGUGUCCAAUCUUUUGGCUUCCCUGGGAUAUAUUGGAAGAAGAAGAAUUGUCUUGGGCCACACAUAAAAUACACUAACGAUAGCUGAUGAGCUAAAAAAAUGCAAAAAAAUCUCAUAGUGUUUUUAGAAAGUUUAUGAAUUUGUGUUGGGCCACAUAUGGCCUUGAGGGCCACAGGUUGGACAAGCUUAAUCUAAAUCCU
rnacentral:lncRNA from 1 species